rnacentral:rRNA from 1 species
GAUCAUGGCUCAGGAUGAACGCUAGCGACAGGCUUAACACAUGCAAGUCGAGGGGCAGCACGGUGUAGCAAUACACUGGUGGCGACCGGCGCACGGGUGAGUAACACGUGUGCAACCAACCCCGUACCGGGAGAUAACCCGCGGAAACGUGGACUAACAUCCCAUAAGACUCUAGGGCCGCAUGGCUCUGGAUUUAAAAUUCCGGUGGUACGGGACGGGCACGCGCGACAUUAGGUAGUUGGCGGGGUAAGGGCCC